AUACUAUACUGAUUUUAGAACGUUAAAAUGAAAAUUAAGGGUUUCCUUAUGGAAGUCUAAGUUCAAUAGGAAAGGAUUUUUACUUAAACUAAUGAUGAUUAAUUCAUAGUAUUAGUGUAAUUUAAGAUAAAUUAGGGCACAAAUAUUGAUUGAAAAAGAUUUAGGGGGUGUCCUAAGUGAUCAAGUAUACUGAUUUUAUAACGUUAAAAUGAAAAUUAUGGGUUUCCUCAUGGGAGUCUAAAUAUAACAGAGAAGGAUUUAACUUACACUAAUGGUGAUUAUUUCUUAGUUUAAGUGUAAUUUAGGAUAAAUUAGGGUACAAAUAUUGAUUGAAAAAGAAUUAAGGGUUUCCUUAGUGAUUAAGUAUACUGAUUUUAUAACAUUAAAAUGAAAAGUAUGAGUUCAACAGGAAUGGAUUUUGACUUAAACCAAUGGUUAUUUUUUCUUAGUGUUUAUGUAAUAAAGUAUAAAUUAGGGAAUAAAUAUUGACUGAAAAAUAUUAAUGGGGGUUUCCGAAGUGAAUAAGUAUACUGAUUUUAGAACGUUGAAUGAAAAUUAUGGGUUUCCUCAUGGGAGUCUAAAUUUAACAGGAAAGGAUUUUACCUAAACUAGUGGUGAUAAUUCUUUAGUAUUAGUGUAAUUAAAGAUAAAUUAGGGUACAAAUAUUGAUUGAAAAAGAUUUAAGGGGUUUCCUAUGUGAUUAAGUAUACUGAGUUUAGAACGUUAAAAUGAAAAGUGUGGGUUUCUUCAUGGGGGUCUAAGUUCAACAGGAAAGGAUUUUUACUUACACUAAUGGUUAUUUUUUCUUAGUAUUUGUGUAAUUUAGGAUUAAUUAGGGUACAAAUAUUGAUUGAAAAUGAUUUAAGGGGUUUCCUAAGUGAUUUAGUUUACUGAUUUUAUAAUGUUAAAAUGAAAAGAAUGAUUUUCCUCAUGGGUGUGUAAGUUCAAUAGGAAAGGAUUUUUACUUAAACUAAUGGUAAUUAUUACAUAGUAUUUGUGUAAGUUAGGAUAAAUAAGGGUACAAAUAUUGAUUUAAAUAAAUUUAGGGAGUUUCCUUAGUGAUCAAGUAUACUGAAUUUGUAGCGUUAAAAUUAAAAGUAUAAAUUUAGUCAUGGGGUUCUAAGUUCAACAUGAAAGGAUUUUUACUUAAACUAAUGGUGAAUAUUUCUUAGUGUUAAUGUAAUUUAAGACAAAUCAGGGUAGAAGUAAAGAUCCAAGAAUAUUUAUGAGGUUUUUGGAGUGAAUAAGUAAACUGAAUUUUUAACGUUGAAAUGAAAAGCAUGGGUGUCCUCAUGGAGGUCUAUUUAGUUCAAUAGGAAAGGAUUUUUAUUUAAACUAUAAUGGUGAUAUAGGUUUUUUUUUUUUUAAUAAUCAAUUACAUGUACAUGAUGUAUACUGAUUUUUUCAAGUUAAAAGCAAAAGAUAUUGGUUUCCUCAUGGGGGUCCAAUACUUUACAAAAGGAUUAUUUUAUAUACUCACGGUGAUUAUUUCGUUGCAUUAAUGAACUCAACAUGUAACCAAUAUUAUUCUUCUUUUUUACAUUUUCUUUUAGAGACUCAAAACCAAAAAUUUUGAUUGCAAAUAGUGACUGAUGUGCCUUAUGAUGUAGAUGUUGGAUAUUGUGCUUUUCCAGAGAAAUGGCCCAAAAUGGAAAGCAUCUGCAGACAAUGACUGAUAUGUUUUUUGAUGCAGAUGUUUAAAAUGAUGCUUUUGAAGGAAAAAUAUCCAAGCUAAUUGAGGUUUCCUGAGAAAAGUGUUUGUCUCACAUGGAAAAGCCAUUGUCUAAGAUUAUACAUAUUAAGCACCAGUGUUCAGACAUAGGUUAACUUCCUAGAUAGACGAUUGAGGACCAAUAGUGUCAACGGAAAAAAAAUCUACGCCAUGAAUAUUGCUUUAAUCAAUACUGGUUUAGAAAUGAUAAUGAAACUCUGGUACAUUUUUUAUUGAUCGUGUGGUUUUCAUGUAUUCUCCCAAAAAUGAAGAUAUGAGAGAAUUAAUACACUUUUUACGUGUACAUGUACGUGUAAAUUCAGUAGCAUUGAAAGUUGGGUUAUACAAUGUACAUAUUUUGCUGUUUUAAUGUUCCUAAACGAUCAUAUUGCCUUGUUCAUAUUAAUAUUUAAAUGUUUUAGUAAUACUCAAUAAAAAGUCAGAGUCUAA